UACGGGGGGGGGCAAGCGUUGUUCGGAAUUACUGGGCGUAAAGGGCUCGUAGGCGGCCAACUAAGUCAGACGUGAAAUCCCUCGGCUUAACCGGGGAACUGCGUCCGAUACUGGAUGGCUUGAGUGUGGGAGAGGAAUGCGGAAUUCCAGGUGUAGCGGUGAAAUGCGUAGAUAUCUGGAGGAACACCGGUGGCGAAGGCGGCAUUCUGGACCAUUACUGACGCUGAGGAGCGAAAGCCAGGGGAGCAAACGGG
rnacentral:rRNA from 1 species